rnacentral:lncRNA from 1 species
AAGGGAACAAUAUAGAGGAUUGAUUGAAUCCUUGACAUCAUGGUUCGACCGAUAAAGAUCUUCAUAAUAUGUGAAGGAGCCAAUAUGGGCAUCCAUGUCCCGCUAUUGGUUAUUGGCCGAAGAGUGUCUCAAGUCAUGUAUGCAUAGUUCUCGAACCCGCACGGUGUGCAGACUUAAGGUUCGGUGGCAUUUCGGUAUGGUUGAGUUAUGUAUGUUGGUUACCGAAGGUUGUUCAGAGUCCCGGAUGAGAUCCCAGACGUCACGAGGUGCUCCAGAAUGGUACGGAGGUAAACAUUUAUAUAUGGGAAGUCAUAUUUUGGCUACCCG